CAUCAGUGAGAGGACCGGUGUUUCCAGGUUCUGUGUCUGGCUCGGCCAGCAUCGAUGUGGAGCUUGGCACUGGACAGGAGCCACCAUCUUGUCAACCACAUAUGCUGCCGUGCAAGUCACUCUGCCGGUGAGAUGCUGACCUCCAGAGUUCCUGGAACAUAGGAUUCUCUGCUCUGAGCACGGAUGCAUCCAUGUGAGCAGUACAGGCCUAUUUGUUGUACAAGAAGUGACUGCUGCAUUAUGAAAUACGGCUCAUUUCUAGCUAAUAAAUUUUCUUCUUACAACGGUAACCAAAGCCAUCAAAUUAUAUUGAGAUCAGAAAUAAAUACAUCCUCUAGGAAAAAAAGAAGUGCAGUGGUUCUUGGCGAUGAUAAAUUGCCCACGAUGUGGAGAUGGGGAAGAGAAAUGGAAGAGAAGGUGCCCAAAUGAGGAGGACAUGGACUGAGUAAAAGUGCUGAAUGGACCAAAGUCAAAGGAAGUCCCUGGGAUGGGACAUGCUCUCAGAGACCUCCCCUGCAGGAUGACUUCAGUUCAUUAAUCUGCACCUUUGGGACCAGGCAUUCAAUCAUCUUAAUAUCUCAAAGCUCUUUAUGUACCCUCUAUGUCUCCAUUUCCCCAACAGGGAAGGUGAUGGUCAACAUGCUAUUUUAAACCACCAAGAUCCUGCAGUUAUCUGGCCUUGAAUUGUUAUUGUGGAGGCAGCAGUUGUUUAGUGGAAGGCACCCAGAAUCAGUAUUAGAAAUGAGCCAGGGGAGAGACCUAGCUCUGCCUCUUCAUCUGCAUACCCUUCAGUUAGGGUGGAUAGGAGAAACAGAACCGCUAGGAGUGGUUUAUAUAUGCAUAAUUAUAUAAUAAGGGAUUUGUGGUAGGGAUUUGAACUAUGCAAUUGUGGGAGCUGGUUCAGGGGCAUAUGGAAGGCUGCUAUUUCUGUAUAUAUUUCUAGGGCCUGAAGAAGCAGGAUAGUCAGUUGGGAAGAAAAGAUGGGUGCAAAAUAGAAGAAAGCAAGGACACACUGGAAUCCAUAGGAUGUCCUGGGGCCCACGGGAUGAACCGGAAUACACAUCAAUCUCUUGUUACUUCCUUCACUCCAGCCUUGAUGAGGCAGGUGAUCUACAGGAGAAGCUGGCUCCUUCCUCACAGAGAUAAACACACACCUGGGCUGAGCAUCAGAAGCUAACGGAGGAGAUGUAGUGGGAGCUGGAGGAGCUGCGAACCUGGCCACAGCUCCAGGCCAGCCAGGUGGGCAGCCGAUCAGCAACAGCUGCCCAGCACUGACCUUCUGACCAUACAAAGAAUCUGUCCACUGCUUUAUUCUGCCUCCCAAAUCUUGUACGAAAUUUCUCCUUUAGCCCAUACUUACCUAAAACUAUGCAGGGAAGGGAAUUUGGGAAGCAUACUUUCAGCUUAGCUAAGUUGACACACCCUGUCAGUGUUUCAUCCAUAUAUACCUCUUUUAACAUCACUAUCUUCGAAAUGGAGACAAUUGAAAAACCAUGUUUCAGCCUAACCUAAUGCAGCUAUCCCUUGUACAACUGAAAACACGUAAUCCUUUCUCCAAAAGCGGAUACAAAUUCAUUUUAAUCAUCUUUGGGUGAUGUGUAUUCCUCUUCUUGCUGAAUCACAUUGUUCCUUUGAUAUCCCAUAACUUAGGUAUUGAGAUAAAUCUAACCACCAUUAUCAUAUCUUAUGUUAGAUGAUAAGGGAAUGGGAGAGGUGAAAAGAAAAUUUGGUUAAUAUUUACUGAGACAUAUUCACAUUAAAAUAACAAAAAAGUACUAAAAGUAUUUAUUGUCCUUGUUUCUACAGCUGGCCUUGUGGUUAUAGCUGGUAUUUAUAACUACCUUUUUCUGCUAUAUGUUCUGUAUUUUGUAUUUUCUUUUCCC
ensembl:lncRNA